rnacentral:rRNA from 1 species
UACAGAGGUCUCAAGCGUUGUUUGGAUUCAUUGGGCGUAAAGGGUGCGUAGGUGGCGCGUAAGUCGGGUGUGAAAUUCGAUGGACUUAACUCCGAAACUGCAUUCGAUACUGCCGGUGCUUGAGGACUGGAGAGGAGACUGGAAUUUACGGUGUAGCAGUGAAAUGCGUAGAUAUCGUAAGGAAGACCAGUGGCGAAGGCGGGUCUCUGGACAGUUCCUGA